UACGUAGGUGGCAAGCGUUGUCCGGAUUUACUGGGCGUAAAGAGCGCGCAGGCGGUCGAGUAAGUCGAAUGUGAAAGCCCCCGGCUUAACUGGGGAGGGUCAUUCGAUACUGUUCGACUUGAAGGCAGGAGAGGGCAGCAGAAUUCCCGGUGUAGUGGUGAAAUGCGUAGAUAUCGGGAGGAAUACCAGUGGCGAAGGCGGCUGCCUGGCCUGUUCUUGACGCUGAGGCGCGAAGGCCAGGGGAGCAAACGGG
rnacentral:rRNA from 1 species